rnacentral:rRNA from 1 species
UACAGAGGGUGCAAGCGUUAAUCGGAAUUACUGGGCGUAAAGCGUGCGUAGACGGUUAUGUAAGUCAGGUGUGAAAGCCCCGGGCUCAACCUGGGAAUGCCAUUUGAGACUGCAUAGCUAGGGUACGGAAGAGGGAAGCGGAAUUUCAGGUGUAGCGGUGAAAUGCGUAGAUAUCUGAAGGAACACCAGUGGCGAAAGCGGCUUCCUGGUCCAGUACCGACGUUCAGGCACGAAAGCCAGGGGAGCAAACGGG